rnacentral:rRNA from 1 species
GAUGAACGCUGACAGAAUGCUUAACACAUGCAAGUCAACUUGAAUUUGGGUUUUUAACUUAGGUUUGGGUGGCGGACGGGUGAGUAACGCGUAAAGAACUUGCCUCACAGCUAGGGACAACAUUUGGAAACGAAUGCUAAUACCUAAUAUUAUGAUAAUAGGGCAUCCUAUAAUUAUGAAAGCUAUAAGCGCUGUGAGAGAGCUUUGCGUCCCAUUAGCUAGUUGGAGAGGUAACGGCUCACCAAGGCGAUGAUGGGUAGCCGGCCUGAGAGGGUGAUCGGCCACAAGGGGACUGAGACACGGCCCUUACUCCUACGGGAGGCAGCAGUGGGGAAUAUUGGACAAUGGACCAAGAGUCUGAUCCAGCAAUUCUGUGUGCACGAUGAAGUUUUUCGGAAUGUAAAGUGCUUUCAGUUGGGAAGAAAGAAAUGACGGUACCAACAGAAGAAGUGACGGCUAAAUACGUGCCAGCAGCCGCGGUAAUACGUAUGUCACGAGCGUUAUCCGGAUUUAUUGGGCGUAAAGCGCGUCUAGGUGGUUAUGUAAGUCUGAUGUGAAAAUGCAGGGCUCAACUCUGUAUUGCGUUGGAAACUGUAUAACUAGAGUACUGGAGAGGUAAGCGGAACUACUAGUGUAGAGGUGAAAUUCGUAGAUAUUUGUAGGAAUGCCGAUGGGGAAGCCAGCUUACUGGACAGAUACUGACGCUGAAGCGUGAAAGCGUGGGUAGCAAACAGG